CAGCAGCCGCGGGAACACAGAGGGUGCAAGCGUUAAUCGGAAUUACUGGGCGUAAAGCGCGCGUAGGUGGUUUGUUAAGUUGGAUGUGAAAGCCCCGGGCUCAACCUGGGAACUGCAUCCAAAACUGGCAAGCUAGAGUACGGUAGAGGGUGGUGGAAUUUCCUGUGUAGCGGUGAAAUGCGUAGAUAUAGGAAGGAACACCAGUGGCGAAGGCGACCACCUGGACUGAUACUGACACUGAGGUGCGAAAGCGUGGGGAGCAAACAGGAUUAGAUACCCCGGUAGUCCCUGUCUCUUAUAC
rnacentral:rRNA from 1 species